rnacentral:tRNA from 1 species
GCCGGAGUAGCUCAGCGGUAGAGCAGCGGUUUCGUAAACCGAAGACCAAGAGUUCGAAUCUCUUCUCCGGCU